UACGUAGGGCGCAAGCGUUGUCCGGAAUUAUUGGGCGUAAAGAGCUCGUAGGCGGCUUGUCACGUCGGGUGUGAAAGCCCGGGGCUUAACCCCGGGUCGGCAGUGGAUACGGGCAGGCUAGAGGUAGGUAGGGGAGAAUGGAAUUCCCGGUGUAGCGGUGAAAUGCGCAGAUAUCGGGAGGAACACCGGUGGCGAAGGCGGUUCUCUGGGCCUUACCUGACGCUGAGGAGCGAAAGCGUGGGGAGCGAACAGG
rnacentral:rRNA from 1 species